rnacentral:misc_RNA from 1 species
GAUGAAGAACGUAGCGAAAUGCGAUACGUAAUGUGAAUUGCAGAAUUCAGUGAAUCAUCGAAUCUUUGAACGCAUAUUGCGCUCUCUGGUAUUCCGGAGAGCAUGCUUGUUUGAGUAUCAGUAAACACCUCAACUCCCUUUUCUUUUUGGAAAUGGGAGCUGGACUUGAGUGAUCCCAACACUUUUCUCACUGGAAAGUGGCGGGUCACUUGAAAUGCAGGUGCAGCUGGACUUUUCUCUGAGCUAUAAGCAUAUCUAUUUAGUCUGCCUAAAAAACAGAUUAUUACCUUUGCUGCAGCUAACAUAAAGGAGAUGAGUUCUUGUGCUGACUGAUGCAGGAUUCACAGAGACAGCUUUGCGGCUGACUUUGUAAACUCGAUCUCAAAUCAAGUAAGACUACCCGCUGAACUUAAGCAUAUCAAUAAGCGGAGGA